CCUACGGGUGGCAGCAGUGAGGAAUAUUGGUCAAUGGGCGGGAGCCUGAACCAGCCAAGUCGCGUGAGGGACGACGGUCCUAUGGAUUGUAAACCUCUUUUGUCGGGGAACAAAGGCGUCCACGGGUGGGCGGAUGAGUGUACCCGAAGAAAAAGCAUGGGCUAACUCCGUGCCAGCAGCCGCGGUAAUACGGAGGAUGCGAGCGUUAUCCGGAUUUAUUGGGUUUAAAGGGUGCGUAGGCGGAUCGUUAAGUCAGUGGUCAAAUUGAGGGGCUCAACCCCUUCCCGCCAGUGAAACUGGCGCUCUUGAGUGGAAGAGAAGUAUGCGGAAUGCGUGGUGUAGCGGUGAAAUGCAUAGAUAUCACGCAGAACCCCGAUUGCGAAGGCAGCAUGCCGGCUUCCGACUGACGCUGAAGCACGAAAGCGUGGGGAUCGAACAGGAUUAGAUACCCUGGUAGUC
rnacentral:rRNA from 1 species